rnacentral:rRNA from 1 species
UAGUCAUAUGCUUGUCUCAAAGAUUAAGCCAUGCAUGUCUAAGUAUAAGCACUUUAUACCGUGAAACUGCGAAUGGCUCAUUAAAUCAGUUAUCGUUUAUUUGAUAGUACCUUACUACAUGGAUACCUGUGGUAAUUCUAGAGCUAAUACAUGCUAAAAACCCCGACUUCGGAAGGGGUGUAUUUAUUAGAUAAAAAACCAAUGCCCCUCGGGGCUCCUUGGUGAUUCAUAAUAACUUAACGAAUCGCAUGGCCUUGCGCCGGCGAUGGUUCAUUCAAAUUUCUGCCCUAUCAACUUUCGAUGGUAGGAUAGUGGCCUACCAUGGUGGCAACGGGUAACGGGGAAUUAGGGUUCGAUUCCGGAGAGGGAGCCUGAGAAACGGCUACCACAUCCAAGGAAGGCAGCAGGCGCGCAAAUUACCCAAUCCCGACACGGGGAGGUAGUGACAAUAAAUACUGAUACGGGGCUCUUUUGGGUCUCGUAAUUGGAAUGAGUACAAUUUAAAUCCCUUAACGAGGAACAAUUGGAGGGCAAGUCUGGUGCCAGCAGCCGCGGUAAUUCCAGCUCCAAUAGCGUAUAUUAAAGUUGUUGCAGUUAAAAAGCUCGUAGUUGAACCUUGGGUCUGGCUGGCCGGUCCGCCUCACCGCGAGUACUGGUCCGGCUGGACCUUUCCUUCUGGGGAAUCCCAUGGCCUUCACUGGCUGUGGGGGGAACCAGGACUUUUACUGUGAAAAAAUUAGAGUGUUCAAAGCAGGCCUUUGCUCGAAUACAUUAGCAUGGAAUAAUAGAAUAGGACGUGCGGUUCUAUUUUGUUGGUUUCUAGGACCGCCGUAAUGAUUAAUAGGGAUAGUCGGGGGCGUCAGUAUUCAGCUGUCAGAGGUGAAAUUCUUGGAUUUGCUGAAGACUAACUACUGCGAAAGCAUUCGCCAAGGAUGUUUUCAUUAAUCAGGGAACGAAAGUUAGGGGAUCGAAGACGAUCAGAUACCGUCGUAGUCUUAACCAUAAACUAUGCCGACUAGGGAUCGGGCGGUGUUUUUAUGAUGACCCGC